GUUUUUUGUUUUUUGUUUUACUUUCUUCAACAUAUUACAUAACUGACUGCUUACUAAACAGUUUUAAAUAUUUGUUUUACUAUGGUUCAUAUCUACUGUUUUAAUACGAUUUAUAACAUAUGAUUUUUUUGUCAGACAGGGAUAAAACUAAGAAAGAUAAAAGAUUUUUUUUAGGUGUUUUUGCUUCAUUUAGACAUGAAAAGGGAAUAACGGACGACUAAAUUAGAGAGUUUAUUUUCACAUAGUACAUUGAACUUGCAAAUAUAUCUGAUUUAACAUGUUUUGAUCGGGCCAAUUAAACCUAGUUUAAUACAGUUUUGUUCAUUGAAGUUUUUAUUUUAAAGUAAACAAAUAAGGAAAGAUCUAUUAAUUAAUUUGAUUGAAAAG
rnacentral:lncRNA from 1 species